rnacentral:rRNA from 1 species
UACGUAGGGGGCAAGCGUUGUCCGGAAUCAUUGGGCGUAAAGAGCGUGUAGGCGGUUCGGCAAGUCGGGUGUGAAAACUCCAGGCUCAACCUGGAGACGCCACCCGAUACUGCUGUGACUCGAGUCCGGUAGGGGACCACGGAAUUCCUGGUGUAGCGGUGAAAUGCGCAGAUAUCAGGAGGAACACCGGUGGCGAAGGCGGUGGUCUGGGCCGGAACUGACGCUGAGGAGCGAAAGCGUGGGGAGCGAACAGG